UAGCAAACAGGAGUAGAUACCCUGGUAGUCCACGCCGUAAACGAUGAGUGCUAAUUGUUGGGAACGUAUAGUUUUCAGUGAUAAAGUUAACGCGCUAAGCACUCCGCCUGGGGAGUACGGCCGCAAGGUUAAAACUUAAAGGAAUUGACGGGGACCCGCACAAGCGGUGGAGCAUGUUGUUUAAUUCGAUGAUACGCGAAGAACCUUACCUACUCUUGACAUCCUGGUCGCGAUUUUGAGAAAUCAUUAUCUUCAGUUCGGCUGGACCAGUGACAGAUGGUGCAUGGUUGUCGUCAGCUCGUGUCGUGAGAUGUUGGGUUAAGUCCCGCAACGAGCGCAACCCUCGCUGUUAGUUGCCAACAGGUAAUGCUGGGAACUCUAACAGAACUGCCGGUGAUAAGCCGGAGGAAGGUGAGGAUGAUGUCAAAUCAGCAUGUCUCUUACGAGUAGGGCUACAAACGUGCUACAAUGGCAAUUACAAUGAGCAGCCACUUCGCAAGAAGGAGCUAAUCUUUUAAAAGUUGCCUCAGUUCAGAUUGUCCUCUGCAAUUCGAGGGCAUGAAGUUGGAAUCGCUAGUAAUCGCAGAUCAGAAUGCUGCGGUGAAUACGUUCUCGGGUCUUGUACACACCGCCCGUCAUCUCAUGGAAGCUGGUUCUACCUGAAG
rnacentral:rRNA from 1 species